CUUUUGCUGGCGACCGGCGCACGGGUGAGUAACACGUAUCCAACCUGCCCUUUACUCGGGGAUAGCCUCUCGAAAGAAAGAUUAAUACCCGAUGGCAUAAUGAUUCCGCAUGGUUUCAUUAUUAAAGGAUUCCGGUAAAGGAUGGGGAUGCGUUCCAUUAGGUUGUUGGUGAGGUAACGGCCCACCAAGCCUUCGAUGGAUAGGGGUUCUGAGAGGAAGGUCCCCCACAUUGGAACUGAGACACGGUCCAA
rnacentral:rRNA from 1 species